AAAUUUUUUAACAAUCACCUUUAUUCAGCAGUUUCGCUCAUUUCAAACUUGCAGUUGCCUCAAAGUCACUCAACUGCUUUGGGAACAUUUCUUUGCUAACAUUAUUUGUAGAUAUUGGCAAUUACAAUGAAAUAUACAUUAAUAUUACUGUCGUUAGUUUUAUUUAUCAUAGAGGAAAGUAUGUGUGAUCAGGUUGAACUCAAAGACAUUCAUAAGCAUUUGAAUAAUAAGGAAGAGGAAGCAUUUUGGAAAUCCUUACAUGAUACAACGAAGGAAAGUGGUCAAGCUAUUGUUAAGUCAUUAAAGGAGAAAAUUCCUAAAUAUAAGAAACAGUGAGUUUUAAUUUUUUUUCCAAAAGUUAAAAAUGUAUUUCCGAUGAAAAUAAUAAAGCACUGUCAACAUAUGGACUUACUUAUUAAACAGAA